UACGUAGGGUGCGAGCGUUGUCCGGAAUUAUUGGGCGUAAAGGGCUCGUAGGCGGUUUGUCGCGUCGGGAGUGAAACCUUGGGCUUAACUCAGGGCUUGCUUUCGAUACGGGCAGACUAGAGGUAUGCAGGGGAGAACGGAAUUCCUGGUGUAGCGGUGAAAUGCGCAGAUAUCAGGAGGAACACCGGUGGCGAAGGCGGUCUCUGGGCAUGAUCUGACGCUGAGGAGCGAAAGUGUGGGGAGCGAACAGG
rnacentral:rRNA from 1 species